UACGUAGGGGCCGAGCGUUGUCCGGAGUUACUGGGCGUAAAGGGAGCGCAGGCGGCCAAGUCAGUCUGAAGUGAAAGCCCGGGGCUUAACCCCGGAAUAGCUUUGGAUACUGCCUGGCUUGAGUGUGCGAUAGGAAAGCGGAAUUCCAGGUGUGGCGGUGAAAUGCGUAGAUAUCUGGAGGAAUACCAGUGGCGAAGGCGGCUUUCUGGACUGACCCUGACGCUGAGGUGCGAAAGCGUGGGUAGCAAACAGGAUUAGAUACCCUGGUAGU
rnacentral:rRNA from 1 species